UACGUAGGGUGCGAGCGUUAAUCGGAAUUACUGGGCGUAAAGCGUGCGCAGGCGGUUUUGUAAGCCAGAUGUGAAAUCCCCGGGCUUAACCUGGGAACUGCAUUUGGGACUGCAAGGCUUGAGUGCGGCAGAGGAGACUGGAAUUCCUGGUGUAGCAGUGAAAUGCGUAGAGAUCCGGAAGAACACCGGUGGCGAAGGCGGCCCGCUGGGCAACUGCUGACACUGAGGCGCGACAGCGUGGGGAGCAAACAGG
rnacentral:rRNA from 1 species